CUUUUAUGGGGUGACUGCGUACCUUUUGUAUAAUGGGUCAGCGACUUAUAUUCUGUAGCAAGGUUAACCGUAUAGGGGAGCCGGAGGGAAACCGAGUCUUAACCGGGCGUUAAGUUGCAGGGUAUAGACCCGAAACCCGGUGAUCUAGCCAUGGGCAGGUUGAAGGUUGGGUAACACUAACUGGAGGACCGAACCGACUAAUGUUGAAAAAUUAGCGGAUGACCUGUGGCUGGGGGUGAAAGGCCAAUCAAACCGGGAGAUAGCUGGUUCUCCCCGAAAGCUAUUUAGGUAGCGCCUCGUGAAUUCAUCUCCGGGGGUAGAGCACUGUUUCGGCUAGGGGGUCAUCCCGACUUACCAACCCGAUGCAAACUGCGAAUACCGGAGAAUGUUAUCACGGGAGACACACGGCGGGUGCUAACGUCCGUCGUGAAGAGGGAAACAACCCAGACCGCCAGCUAAGGUCCCAAAGUCAUGGUUAAGUGGGAAACGAUGUGGGAAGGCCCAGACAGCCAGGAUGUUGGCUUAGAAGCAGCCAUCAUUUAAAGAAAGCGUAAUAGCUCACUGGUCGAGUCGGCCUGCGCGGAAGAUGUAACGGGGCUAAACCAUGCAC
rnacentral:rRNA from 1 species